UAAUGUGUGAAUUUGGUUUAUGUCAUGGA
rnacentral:piRNA from 1 species